rnacentral:rRNA from 1 species
CCUACGGGCGGCAGCAGUGAGGAAUAUUGGUCAAUGGACGAGAGUCUGAACCAGCCAAGUAGCGUGAAGGAUGACUGCCCUAUGGGUUGUAAACUUCUUUUAUAUGGGAAUAAAACGUUCCACGUGUGGGAUUUUGUAUGUACCAUAUGAAUAAGGAUCGGCUAACUCCGUGCCAGCAGCCGCGGUAAUACGGAGGAUCCGAGCGUUAUCCGGAUUUAUUGGGUUUUAAGGGAGCGUAGGUGGAUUGUUAAGUCAGUUGUGAAAGUUUGCGGCUCAACCGUAAAAUUGCAGUUGAAACUGGCAGUCUUGAGUACAGUAGAGGUGGGCGGAAUUCGUGGUGUAGCGGUGAAAUGCUUAGAUAUCACGAAGAACUCCGAUUGCGAAGGCAGUUCACUGGACUGCAACUGACACUGAGGCUCGAAAGUGUGGGUAUCAAACAGGAUUAGAUACCCUGGUAGUC